AUUGAACGCUGGCGGCAGGCCUAACACAUGCAAGUCGAGCGAGCGGCGGACGGGUGAGUAAUGUAUGGGGACUGCCCGAAAGAGGGGGAUAACUACUGGAAACGGUGGCUAAUACCGCAUACUAUCGGAUAACCCAUAUGGGAUUAGCUAGUAGGUGGGGUAAAGGAUCACCUAGGCGACGGUCACUACCUGGUCUGAGAGGAUGACAAGCCAAACGUGGACUGAGACACGGCCCAGACGCCUACGGAGGCAGCAGUGUGGAAUAUUGCACAAUGGUCGCAAGCCUGAUGCAGCCAUGCCGCGUGUAUGAAGAAGGCCUUAGGGUUGUAAAGUACUUUCAGCGGGGAGGCGUUACCCGCAGAAGAAGCACCGGCUAACUCCGUGCCAGCAGCCGCGGUAAUUC
rnacentral:rRNA from 1 species